AUAAAAUUAAAGUCGAUGGCCAAAUUGAUACAUCUAAAUCUGGUAAAUAUCAAAUUAAAUAUCAUGUCACUGAUUCAGAUGGUGCAAUUAAAAUUUCCACUAGGUAUAUUGAGGUUAAAUAGCCCUCAUCACUAUACUGCAAAUAAAAUGGUAGCAAACGAACAUGUUUUGCUACCAUUUUAUUUGUUAUUCUAACUUCAUCUGCAACUUUAACCCAAAUAUUGUAUUUUUUCUGUAUACCAAAG
rnacentral:sRNA from 1 species